GAUGAACGCUGGCGGCGUGCCUAAUACAUGCAAGUCGAGCGAACAGACGAGGAGCUUUCUCCUCUGACGUUAGCGGCGGACGGGUGAGUAACACGUGGAUAACCUACCUAUAAGACUGGGAUAACUUCGGGAAACCGGAGCUAAUACCGGAUAAUAUAUUUAACCGCAUGGUUCAAUAGUGAAAGACGGUUUUGCUGUCACUUAUAGAUGGAUCCGCGCCGCAUUAGCUAGUUGGUAAGGUAACGGCUUACCAAGGCAACGAUGCGUAGCCGACCUGAGAGGGUGAUCGGCCACACUGGAACUGAGACACGGUCCAGACUCCUACGGGAGGCAGCAGUAGGGAAUCUUCCGCAAUGGGCGAAAGCUUGACGGAGCAACGCCGCGUGAGUGAUGAAGGUCUUCGGAUCGUAAAACUCUGUUAUUAGGGAAGAACAAAUGUGUAAGUAACUAUGCACGUCUUGACGGUACCUAAUCAGAAAGCCACGGCUAACUACGUG
rnacentral:rRNA from 1 species